GGAAAAAGUCUCUGUUCCUGGUCCCCAGCUCAGAUACUGGUAACAUAGUAGUUUUACUGGUUUCCAGUUAUUUUUUUCUUUAUUUCAUUUUAUUAUUUUGUGUAAAUAAUGAGAUACAAGUUGCAUCAGGUCAAGAAAUGUGAAAGCCUGACACCCAGCAGCACUGGCAACCACUCGCACUGUCAGUCUCAUGUCAGCAUCAAAACACAUGGUUGCAUCGCACAUCUCACCUCCCACAGGAUACACAGCAUCUCAUUCACACUCUCUUCCCUUCCACAAAGGGCUAAUACGAGGUGUCAGAAAAAAGAAAGAAAAAAAAAACGCCUCCUUGUUUCCUAUGAAAAAUAAUCAAAUACACACACUCAAAAAAAAAAUCACACUGGAUUCUACUCAGGUGUACAUGUGCACACAUAUCGUAGAUCUGUUUACAAAAAAAGUCACCGACUCCAGGAGGUCCACAGGCCAAAUCAAUACAAAUUCUUUAGUGAGGUGAAUCAAUAGAAAGAAGUAAAUGUUAACCUGCUUCAGACUGCAUGGCACCAUUCACUACACCUCUGCUGCUUUACACCUUUGCCUUAUUUAGUAUCUACAGAUCUCUGUAUAUGCAAAUCAGUUCCCACCUCCUCCCUCAGAAGAUGCCUUCUACUUUAGCUGCAAGCUUUAUUGCCCCUCAAAAAAUUCCUGCUACAUGGAGGAAGACACAGCACCGGUCCACACUCCCAAAGUGUGUGUUUUAUUAAGAGGAAGAGGAAAACCCAGUGCUUAAUAAAUCACUACAACUGGGAUAAAGGAAGGAAGACGCAGCACGUCAGGAGAGACAAAAAAUAAAAAAGGUGAUGGGAAAAAACACAGUGCCUGCAGCACAUUAAACAACACCUGGGUGCAGCAUUUAGGCAAAAUUGUCAUCGUACUUAAAGUAUCUUAAUAUGGUGUCAGCCCAAGUAAUGUUAUCUUCACUUCACCUAUCUCUCUUGUGCUGUGUGUGUGUGUGUCUGUUUAACUGUGACACACACCAAGCAAAUCAGUGGAACAGCAGAACACACACAUACACGCACAGUGGAAAAAGGACAGAGGAGAACAAGAAAACAGAAGGAGAGAUUACAUGUUGUGCUGAAAUAAAAAAAAAA
ensembl:lncRNA